GUGGGUAUAGCUCAGUGGUAGAGCACACUUGUAGCAUGCAAGAGGUCCUGGGUUCAAUCCCCAGUACCUCCA
rnacentral:tRNA from 1 species